GCCGCCUUAGCUCAGUCGGUCAGAGCGGCUCACUCGUAAUGAGCAGGUCUGGGGUUCGAUUCCCCAAGGCGGCUCCA
rnacentral:tRNA from 1 species